rnacentral:rRNA from 1 species
GACGAACGCUGGCGGCGUGCCUAAUACAUGCAAGUUGAGCGCUGAAGGUUGGUACUUGUACCAACUGGAUGAGCAGCGAACGGGUGAGUAACGCGUGGGGAAUCUGCCUUUGAGCGGGGGACAACAUUUGGAAACGAAUGCUAAUACCGCAUAAAAACUUUAAACACAAGUUUUAAGUUUGAAAGAUGCAAUUGCAUCACUCAAAGAUGAUCCCGCGUUGUAUUAGCUAGUUGGUGAGGUAAAGGCCCACCAAGGCGAUGAUACAUAGCCGACCUGAGAGGGUGAUCGGCCACAUUGGGACUGAGACACGGCCCAAACUCCUACGGGAGGCAGCAGUAGGGAAGCUUCGGCAAUGGACGAAAGUCUGACCGAGCAACGCCGCGUGAGUGAAGAAGGUUUUCGGAUCGUAAAACUCUGUUGGUAGAGAAGAACGUUGGUGAGAGUGGAAAGCUCAUCAAGUGACGGUAACUACCCAGAAAGGGACGGCUAACUACGUG